UACACAAGAUUAAAGGUCGCUCUU
rnacentral:piRNA from 1 species